CUCCUUCACCCAGUCCCCUGCCCUAAAUCCACCUCUGCUCUUUCCUGGCACUGGAUGCCUACUUGGAGGAGGAGCCUUCUGGAGACACCGACCCUCGACCCCGAGUUGUGAGUCUGACUGUGGAAAUCCUUGGCCCCCAGGGCAGGCCCAUGCAGGGUUUGGAGGAUAAAUUUGGAAACGAAAAGGUUUUCUGGAGCCCCUCAAAUCACACAGC
rnacentral:lncRNA from 1 species